GACAAAGGUUCAUGCAGGAUGAACAGGCAUGGAAAGAUUGCCACCUAGAAACCGGUGCUUGGGGACUCUUAAAUCUAUUCUAAUUGAAGCAGAGAAUCAGCAGAGUGGAAAAGACCCUGACUCUACUCAAGAUAUGUCAAAUGAUUGAGAAUGGCUCAGGUCACUGACCUUUGUACUGUCUUUCUACCAUGGCUGGGACUCUCAUGGGACCCUCAUUCGCACUAUCUCUUCUGUAAGGGCCAUCUGCUUCCUUCUUAAGGACAGUUUCUCAGCAUUUCAUCUACAUGGACAUCCUCUUCAAGUGAAGUCAUUCCACUGAAAUAAAAAAGUAAU